rnacentral:lncRNA from 10 species
CCACCAAGGCAAAUCAGAUCCUUUAAUUCCUAUUUCCACCUGAAAUUUAUACCAUACCUAUACCAUACCCAACUACCACACAUACUCAUCCUUUUUUAAGAAAUGAGAAUCAAAUCAUAGACUUGAAGUACCCACCAGCUCACGGGAAGAGGCAGCCUACCAAAAAGCAUCUGGCCUUAGUUUAAAACGAAUUGACACAGGAUUCCGGGGCUUCGUCCGGUCAGCCAGUUGAUUUGUAAAUUCUGUCUCCCAGACUGCUUUUCUGGAGGAAGCCUGAGGCUUGGGUCUUCUAGACUUGAGGAGCCACCUUGCACAUAGCCUCUUAAGAAAUACUUGUUGCAGUCCUGCUUUGCUCUGUGAUUUUGGUCUUAAUGUUCCUCAGCUAAGUGUCUGUUCUGUACCCCCUCUCUGCUCCUCUUUCUUGUUUAGUCCCCACCAUUAAGGAAAUAGGUCUAGGCAUAAAUACUGGGAGAGGGGCUUCAUUUGGGAGGCAGUAGUGUAAGUUUAUUACAGGAGGGGUCACUCAACAGUGGUAGGCACUGUGCUUGGUACUAGUGAUAGUGGCAAAUAAGAGACAUUGGACCCUGCAGGCCGGGUGUGGUGGCUCACACCUGUAAUCCCAGCACUUUGGGAGUCCAAGGUGGUCAGAUCACAAGGUCAGGAGUUUGAGACCAGCCCAGCCAACAUGGUGAAACUCUGUCUCUACUAAAAAUACAAAAAUUAGCUGGGUGUGGUGGCAUGUGCCUGUAAUCCCAGCUAUCCAGGAGGCUGGGGCAGGAGACUCGCUGGAACCCAGGAGACAGAGGCUGCAGUGAGCCGAGAUUGCACCACUGCACUCCAGCCUGGGCGACAGAGCAAGAUUCUUGUCUUUUUUUUUUUUUAAAAAAAAGAGGCCGGGUGCGGUGGCUCAUGCCUGUAAUCCCAGCACUUUGGGAGGCCGAGGCAGGCAGAUCACCUGAUGUUGGGAGUUCGAGACCAGCCUGACCAACAUGGAGAAACCCCGUCUCUACUAAAAAUACAAAAUUAGCCAGGCAUGGUGGCACGUGCCUGUAAUCCCAGCUACCAGGGAGGCUGAAGCAGGAGAAUCGCUUGAACCUGGGAGGUGGAGGUUGUGGUGAGCUGAGAUCGCGCCAUUGCACUCCAGCCUGGGCAACAAGAGUGAAACUCCAUCUCAAAAAAAAAAAAAAAAGAAAAAAAGAAAAUGCAUUUUCCUAAUUUGAGUAGGAAGCUAUGAAAAAAAGAGAAGAAGAAAAUGCAUUUCCAUAGGUUUGUCAUCGUGAAUUCCAUUUCUUUAUAUGAUAUGAAGCCCUGAUAAAAUAAUAAUAGCCUUUCAGGAAUGCAUCCACUGCAUAAAGCAAGUUUAAAUUGUGGAAUGACUUCCCUUCAAUUGCUUUUAUUUAUUUUUGUUUUUUCAGAGCCGGGGUCUCUCACUCUGUCACCCAGGUUGGAGUGCAGUGGUGUAAUCAUAGCUCACUGCAGCCUCAAACUCCUGGUCUCAGGUGAUCCUCCUCCCAAAGUGCUAAGAAUACAGGCAGGAGCUACUAAACCCAGCCUCCUUUAGUUUGUUUUUGAAGACUUCCUAGUUAAUCAAAAUCAAGUUUCAAUUUUCUAAUAGGUUUUCUCUCAUUGUUUCCUCACUUAAACUGCUUUUCUUCUCAUCUUUUACAAUUUCUGUGGCUAUCUCACAUAUAAAAUUAACCAGUAUUUUAGAAUUUCAUCUUUUAUUUCUGGAAUAGAAAGUGGCAAAGAAAUCUAAAUGUUUGCAUUUCAGCAAUACUUGUGGUAUAGAUAAAAUGGCCCACUGUCAGCCUUGAAACAGUACCUUCUAUCACAUAGUUCAUAUACAGUCUUGCUGAAGACUUGGAGUGAAGAUAGAGUGAGAUCAUAGGAAGGGACAAGUAAUAAAUAGGAGGAGAACUUUUUUUUUUUUUUUUUUUUUUUAAGAUGGAGUCUCUCUCUGUCGCACGGGCUGAAGUGCAGUGGCGCUAUUUCGGCUCACUGCAACCUCUGCCUCCCAGGUUCAAGCAGCUCUCCUGCCUCAGCCUCCCGAGUAGCUGGGACUACAGGCAUGCGCCACUAUGCCCAGUUAAUUUUUGUAUUUUUAGUAGAGACAGGGUUUCACCAUGUUGGUUGGCCAGUAUGGUCUCGAUAUCUUGACCUUGUGAUCUGCCUGCCUUGGCCUCCCAAAUUGCUGGGAUUACAGGUGUGAGCCACCACGCCUGGCCUGGAGAACUUUUUUUUUUUUUUUUUUGUAAAUCCAAACUACACCUAGAAAACUGCUUUCUGAAACAUUCCUUAGUCUGUGGCUCACCUAAUAAUCCUCACUCAACCUUAUCAGGAGGUAAGGAUUCUGUCUGAACUCAGGAUCCAUUUGGAUCGGUGGCCUACCUAUGGGCAAUGAGAGGAAUCAUAUUAACUGUCACUGUCCAUCCUCUGAGUCUUUGUAGUUUGUAGUAAAAUACAUACUGUCCCAUAUAAAAAAUGAGAAUUGUGUUACCCUAAAUGUCAGAUAAUUUGGUGUUUCCCAGCUCUCCAGCUCUAAAGAAUCUCUGCUGGGUAUCCCUUUAUGUCUGGAAGGAGACUGUCAGCUUCUGGUAUCUGAGACCUGUGUGCCCUAUAACAUCUAGUUAUGGCUAUCGUUCUUAACUAGUUUAGGGAUUCCUUUCUGUAGGAAUUAAGAGUAAACACAGAUCUUCAGAGGCAAGAGUUUUAGAACUUAUUGAAGACUUUUGGUCAUAUGGAAACUUCAUUCAACAAAGAGUGCACCCUUAAAAAAAAUCUCUACUGUCAUUGGGUAUGUGUAUCUGCGUGUGUGUGUGUGUAUGUGUAUGUAUAUACAUACAUAUAUAUACAUAUGUAAUGAAAAGCAAGCCAGGCAAGAUUGUUUCUUCCCCAAAGUUCACUCUGCCUAUUCUUUUUUUUUUUUCCCUUUCUUUUAAAUUUAGAGACAAGAUCUUGGUAUGUUGCCCAGGCUAGAGUACAGUGGCUGUUCACAGGUACAGUCACAGUACACUACAGCCUUGACCUUCUGGCCUCAAGCCAUCUUCCCAUCUCAGCCUCCGGAGUGGCUGGGAUUACAGAUGCAUGCUGCGCACAGCUCACUCUGCCUUUUCUAAAGUUAGGACUCCUGGGGCUAGGUGGUGGUGGUGUUGGCUACCCUUCUUAUUUUGGUUUGGAAGGUUUUCAUAAUGACUGCAGUAGGGUCAGAGUCCUCUGCAUGUGGUCCUAUCAGUGAUGGAUGUGGGUCUGAAGCCCUGCUCAUCAACACACACUGAACCAAAUGAGGAGGUGGGGUAAAAAGACUAUCAUCUGAACAGAUUUCUUGGAAAUCAAAGAACAGAAAAUAAAAAUUGAGGCUGGGUGCAGGGGCUCCAUGCCUGUAAUCCCAGCACUUUGGGAGGUAGGAAGAUCACUUGCUAGGAGUUCAAGACCAGCCUAGGUAACAUAGUAAGACCCCAUCUCUACAAAACAAUUAAAAAAAAAUAGGCAUGGUGGUGCACACCUGUAUGUAGUUCCAGCUACUUGGGAGGCUGAGGUGGGAGGAUUGCUUGAGGACAGGAGGUUGAGGUUGCAGUGAGCCAUGACCGAGCCGCUGUACUUCCAGCCUGACAACUGAGUGAGACCUUGUCUCCAAAAAGAAGGAUGGGGAGAGGAAAAAAAAUUGAGUGACAUUGACACUAUUUAGCCCCUAUUCUUACCUACACUAGAGUGAGAGCUUUUUUCCUUGAUGUUGUGUCAAACAGGGAUGCCUCUUUAGAAUAUAAACCAGUGGUCCUAACCGAAGUCCUUUCUUUCCCAGCCUCAUAGACUAAUGAACCAAUGAACCCAAAGUAUCCUUGAAUGUGGCCCCCUUCAGCCUCAUUUGCCUUGGAGAAUGUUGCUGUUAGGGGUCUGAGACAGGUCUUGGUCCUCACCUAAUAUGACAGAGAGGCAAUGAACAGUAAAGAGGUCAACCUUGAGCUGUGGGGGCCUAGUGACUAAAGUUCUUGUUUUGCUAUGAAAGUUGGCACCAAAAUCUCAUCCUUCUAGGGCUGCAUUUUCCAUUCCCUCUGACACUCUCAUAGUAAGAAUGUUGAAUUGUCCCUAGUAGGUGUGAGCUGGUAGAUAUUCCUUCAAAUUGAGUGUUACUUUACCUCAGUGUAGGCAUUUGCAAAGUGGGGAUGAUUCUUACUUCAAACUUUAUUGGAGGAUUCAGUGGAAAAAUGAAUGUCUAUGAGUACCUGGCACUUAGUAGGCUCUCUCUGCUUCAUUCCUGCCCUAGUUUCCCUCUAAGCCCAAGGACGGAAGAUAGGAAAGCUUUUCAACUAAGAUUUACACAAAACAGGUGCCCACAAUCAUUCCACGCAACCAGGCUCCAUCCCUGCAAAAGUGCUGCAGAAGUGGACCUUUUCAGUUUGUGGUGCCCAGCCCAACAUGCAAUCUGGCACCCAUUAGAUACUAGGUAAAUGUCGUUGACUGAUGAGUGGUGGCAGGCACUGAACAAUGCAGCACCAACCAAAAUGUCAGGUUGUUCUGUAGGGGGAAGUAGCAAAACCUCCAGGGGAAAGGGUUACCAGGUGGCAAACCUUGGCCAGAGCUCAUGUCACCACUGCACCCUGCCCCCAUGCAACCGCACCUCAAUACUAGGUGCCUUGUCACCCCUGUAUCACUGGAUCUAGGAGGUCUGGAGCUUGUGCAGCCUGUGGGUAUGUGCCUUUCAUUGUGGGCAUGGCCUUUGCUCCAGCACUUGCUAUGUGGCAGGAGGCUUAUCCUGGAGUUUGUUUUUGUUUUUUUGAGAUGGGAGUUUUGCUCUUGGUGCCCAGGCUGGAGUUCAGUGGUGCGAUCUUGGCUCACUGCAACCUCUGCCUCCUGGUUUCAAGCGAUUCUCCUGCCUCAGCCUCCUGAGUAGCUGGAAUUACAGGCAGGUGCCACCACGCCCAGCUAAUUUUUUGUUUUUUUUAGUAGAGAUGGGGUUUCAUCGUGUUGGCCAGGCUGGUCUCAAACUCCUGACCUCAGGUAAUCCACCAGCCUCAUCCUCCCAAAGUGCAGGGAUUAUAGGCGUGAGCCACCACGCCCUGUCCUGGAGUUUUGUCCUACAAAGUGGCUACAUUCCUUAUCACUCUGGCUGUGAAUUUUGGGCCCCAGCUCACUACAGAACCCAAUUCCCCUUAAACCAGCUGUUUUCAACAUCUCAGGUGGUAAGACUGUGACUCAGAUUCCUUCUUUUUGUAUUCACCAAAUUAUGUUUUAUGAUGAUUUUCUACUUUUUCAACAAAAAACAGAACUGCUAUUUAAGCCGGGAGUGGUGGCCCAUGCCUGUAAUCCUAGCUACUCAGGAGGCUGAGGCACGAGGAUUGCUUGAGCCCAGCAAUUUGAGUCUAGCCUGGUCAACAUACGAGACCCUGUCUCUAAAAGAUAAAUAAAUAAAAUUAGCUGAGGUGGCACGUGCCUGUAGUCCCAACUACUCAGGAGGCUGAGGUUGGAACUGCUUGAGUCCAAGGGUUCCAGGCUGUAGUGAGCUGUGAUCAUGUGACUGCAUUCCAGACUGGGCAAUAAAGUGAGACCCAUUUAAAAUGUGCCCAGAAGCUCAGAGCUUGGACCCCAGAGGUCUCCUGUUAUUCUACAGGACUCCUGCUCACAGCCUAUGAAUGCAUGGCUAGAAGCUGUCCGGAAACCAGUUCUCAAUCUUUGGCUUUAAUAAAAUUUCAGUCUUUAGUACUUGUAUUGUUAUUCUUACAGCCUAAUCCCUGACUUGGUUUUGAGAGGAAGCCAUGGUGAUUGUAGUCUCAAGCUGCCCUGUGCAAAAGAAGACCCAGCCCCAGUCAAAGAAUUAAUGUAGCAAGACCCCGUCUAUACCAAAAAAAGAAAAAAGAACUGUGUAAGCACUAAGAUAGGAACUUUUUCCUACAGAUUAGUUUAUCAAACUUGCCACCUCCAAGUCCUGGUAUUGCCUUGGCUGGCUUGCAGAAGGUUCUUUGUCUUUAUUCUAAAGGCGACUUUCCAGCUGAUGUUUCAGGGAGUUUCCACCUCAAACCACAACCUUAUGGCCCAUGCAGG